rnacentral:tRNA from 1 species
GGACGUGAGUGAGUCGGUUACUUCACCUCUUAAGUGCGUGGUCGCGGGUUCGAGUCCCGCCGGGUCCAC